rnacentral:rRNA from 1 species
CCUACGGGCGACAGCAGUCGAGAAUCAUUCACAAUGGGGGAAACCCUGAUGGUGCGACGCCGCGUGGGGGAAUGAAGGUCUUCGGAUUGUAAACCCCUGUCAUGUGGGAGCAAAUUAAAAAGAUAGUACCACAAGAGGAAGAGACGGCUAACUCUGUGCCAGCAGCCGCGGUAAUACAGAGGGCUCAAGCGUUGUUCGGAAUCACUGGGCGUAAAGCGUGCGUAGGCUGUUUCGUAAGUCGUGUGUGAAAGGCGCGGGCUCAACCCGCGGACGGCACAUGAUACUGCGAGACUAGAGUAGUGGAGGGGGAACCGGAAUUCGCGGUGUAGCAGUGAAAUGCGUAGAUAUCGAGAGGAACACUCGUGGCGAAGGCGGGUUCCUGGACAUUAACUGACGCUGAGGCACGAAGGCCAGGGGAGCGAAAGGGAUUAGAUACCCGUGUAGUC